rnacentral:lncRNA from 1 species
CUCAAAAAUUUAAACAUGGAGUUCUCAUGUGACCCGGUGACCCCACUCCGAGAUGUACACUCAAGACAAAUGAAAACAUGUGUUCACACAAAAACUUGUACAUAAAUGUUCACAGUGGCAUUACUAGAAUAGCCAAAAACUGAAAACAACCCAAAUUCCAUCAACUGAUAAACGGAGAAGCAAAAUAUGGGCCUCCAUACAGGAAUGUUAUGCAGCCACAAACAGGAACCAAGUGCUGCUAAUGCCACAGUGUGGAUAAAACCUAUGCUAAGAGAAAGAAGCCAGGCAGAAAAGGUCACAUAUAGUGGGAAUCCGUUUAUAUAAAAUGUCCGAGCUGGGCACCGUGGCUCACGCCUGUAAUCCCAGCAUUUUGGGAGGCUGAGGUGGGUGGAUCACUUGAGGUCAGGAGUUUGAGACCAGCCUGGUCAACAUGGCGAAACCCUGUCUCUACCAAAAAAUACAAAACUUAGCUGGGUGCAGUGACGGGCGCCUGUAGUCCCAGCUACUCAGGAGGCUGAGGCAGGAGAAUCACUUGAACCCGGGAGUCAGAG